AUGGCUUUCCCUCCAGAGUGGAUCCUGAGUACGGCGGAACACGUGAAAUUCCGUCGGAAUCCGGGAGGACCAUCUCCCAAGGCUAAAUACUCCCUAGUGACCGAUAGUGAACCAGUACCGUGAGGGAAAGGUGAAAAGCACCCCGGAAGGGGAGUGAAACAGUUCCUGAAACCGUGUGCCUACAAGUAGUUAGAGCCCGUUAAUGGGUGAUAGCGUGCCUUUUGUAGAAUGAACCGGCGAGUUACGAUUUGUUGCAAGGUUAAGCGGAAAAAGCGGAGCCGUAGCGAAAGCGAGUCUGAAUAGGGCGCAUAAGUAACAGGUCGUAGACCCGAAACCAGGUGAUCUACCCAUGUCCAGGAUGAAGGUAAGGUAAUACUUACUGGAGGUCCGAACCCACGCACGUUGAAAAGUGCGGGGAUGAGGUGUGGGUAGCGGAGAAAUUCCAAUCGAACUUGGAGAUAGCUGGUUCUCUCCGAAAUAGCUUUAGGGCUAGCCUCGAGGUAAAGAGUCAUGGAGGUAGAGCACUGUUUGGACUAGGGGCCCUUCUCGGGUUACCGAAUUCAGAUAAACUCCGAAUGCCAUGUACUUAUACUCGGGAGUCAGACUGCGAGUGAUAAGAUCCGUAGUCGAAAGGGAAACAGCCCAGACCACCAGUUAAGGUCCCCAAAUAUAUGUUAAGUGGAAAAGGAUGUGGGGUUGCUUAGACAACCAGGAUGUUGGCUUAGAAGCAGCCACCAUUGAAAGAGUGCGUAAUAGCUCACUGGUCGAGUGACCCCGCGCCGAAAAUGUACCGGGGCUAAACAUAUUACCGAAACUGUGGAUGAACCUCUUUAGAGGUUCGUGGUAGGAGAGCGUUCUAAGGGCGGUGAAGUCAGACCGGAAGGACUGGUGGAGCGCUUAGAAGUGAGAAUGCCGGUAUGAGUAGCGAAAGAAGGGUGAGAAUCCCUUCCACCGAAUAUCUAAGGUUUCCUGAGGAAGGCUCGUCCGCUCAGGGUUAGUCGGGACCUAAGCCGAGGCCGAUAGGCGUAGGCGAUGGACAACAGGUAGAGAUUCCUGUACCAGUGCUAAUUGUUUAACCGAUGGGGUGACACAGAAGGAUAGGGAAUCGCACGAAUGGAAAUGUGCGUCCAAGCAGUGAGUGUGAGAAGUAGGCAAAUCCGCUUCUCGCGAAGCAUGAGCUGUGAUGGGGAAGGAAAUUAAGUACGGAAGUUCCUGAUUUCACGCUGUCAAGAAAAGCCUCUAGGAAGAGUAGUACUGCCCGUACCGCAAACCGACACAGGUAGAUGAGGAGAGAAUCCUAAGGUGAGCGAGAGAACUCUCGUUAAGGAACUCGGCAAAAUGACCCCGUAACUUCGGGAGAAGGGGUGCUCUAUUAGGGUGCAAGCCCGAGAGAGCCGCAGUGAAUAGGCCCAGGCGACUGUUUAGCAAAAACACAGGUCUCUGCAAAACCGUAAGGUGACGUAUAGGGGCUGACGCCUGCCCGGUGCUGGAAGGUUAAGAGGAGUGCUUAGCUUCGGCGAAGGUACGAAUUGAAGCCCCAGUAAACGGCGGCCGUAACUAUAACGGUCCUAAGGUAGCGAAAUUCCUUGUCGGGUAAGUUCCGACCCGCACGAAAGGCGCAACGAUCUGGGCACUGUCUCAACGAGAGACUCGGUGAAAUUAUAGUACCUGUGAAGAUGCAGGUUACCCGCGACAGGACGGAAAGACCCCGUGGAGCUUUACUGCAACCUGAUAUGGAAUGUUUGUACCGCUUGUACAGGAUAGGUAGGAGCCGAAGAGACGUGUGCGCUAGCAUACGAGGAGGCAAUGGUGGGAUACUACCCUGGCUGUAUGACCAUUCUAACCCGCCACGCUUAGCGCGUGGGGAGACAGUGUCAGGUGGGCAGUUUGACUGGGGCGGUCGCCUCCUAAAGAGUAACGGAGGCGCCCAAAGGUUCCCUCAGAAUGGAUGGAAAUCAUUCGCAGAGUGUAAAGGCACAAGGGAGCUUGACUGCGAGACUGACAAGUCGAGCAGGGACGAAAGUCGGGCUUAGUGAUCCGGUGGUUCCGCAUGGAAGGGCCAUCGCUCAACGGAUAAAAGCUACCCCGGGGAUAACAGGCUUAUCUCCCCCAAGAGUCCACAUCGACGGGGAGGUUUGGCACCUCGAUGUCGGCUCGUCGCAUCCUGGGGCUGUAGUCGGUCCCAAGGGUUGGGCUGUUCGCCCAUUAAAGCGGCACGCGAGCUGGGUUCAGAACGUCGUGAGACAGUUCGGUCCCUAUCCGUCGCGGGCGCAGGAAAUUUGAGAGGAGCUGUCCUUAGUACGAGAGGACCGGGAUGGACACACCGCUGGUGUACCAGUUGUUCCGCCAGGAGCAUCGCUGGGUAGCUAUGUGUGGCAGGGAUAAACGCUGAAAGCAUCUAAGCGUGAAGCCCCCCUCAAGAUGAGAUUUCCCAUUUCUUCGGAAAGUAAGAUCCCUGAAAGAUGAUCAGGUAGAUAGGUUUGGAGUGGAAGUGUAGCGAUACAUGGAGCGGACAAAUACUAAUCGAUCGAGGACUUAACCAAAA
rnacentral:rRNA from 1 species